CGUGCUUAACACAUGCAAGUGGAGCGACGAACCGGGGCUUGCCCCGGGGCAGAGCCGCGAACGGGUGAGUAACACGUGGGAAUCUACCCAGUGGUACGGAACAACCAGGAGAAAUCUUGGCUAAUACCGUAUAAGUCCUUCGGGAGAAAGAUUUAUCGCCAUUGGAUGAGCCCGCGUCGGGUUAGGUAGUUGGUGAGGUAAUGGCUCACCAAGCCUACGAUCCGUAGCUGGUCUGAGAGGAUGAUCAGCCACAUUGGGACUGAGACACGGCCCAAACUCCUACGGGAGGCAGCAGUGGGGAAUAUUGGACAAUGGGCGAAAGCCUGAUCCAGCCGUGCCGCGUGAGUGAUGAAGGCCCUAGGGUUGUAAAGCUCUUUCGGCGGGGAAGAUAAUGACUGUACCCGCAGAAGAAGCCCCGGCUAACUUCGUGCCAGCCGCCGCGGUAAGAC
rnacentral:rRNA from 1 species